ensembl:snoRNA SNORD115 Small nucleolar RNA SNORD115
GGCUUAAUGAUGAGGCCUCACACUAUCUCAAAGAGAGAUGAUGACUUAAAAACCAUGCUUAAUAGGAUCAUGCUGAGGCCC